AUAACGGUCCUAAGGUAGCAAAUUUCCUUGUCGUCUUAAUAACGACCUGCAUGAAACAUAGAACGAUUCGAUAACUGUCUUGCGCACACAUCAUGGUAAAAUAUUCAUCAGUACAAAGAAUAUGCUGGAACACACUAAAGGACAAAAAGACCCUUUGAAGCUUUAUAGGGAUAAAAUCUCGUACAUACUCACUGUGAUUUACUGAUGGCUCCAACAAGCGAGAGGACCAAAACUGUUUAAUUGGGGCGAUAAGCUUAUAUAAUCCACCUAAGGUGAACAAAGCCAUCCAACUCAACCAACUAAUAAGUGUAAAGAUACAUGUUUCGCUUAAUGGCCUAGGAAGUCCUUACCAGUAUUUAAAUGCUAUCUUAAUGAGCUUAAAAUUAAUCUACCAACACCAAGCUACUCUACGGAUAACAGGCUUAAUUUCGGCAAUACGAAAGCUCACAUUAUCAAGAAAAAUGCACCUCGAUGUCGGCUUAUCAUCACCAAAAUCUGUAGCUAGCUUAUUGGUAGGAGUGCUCAUCCUGUAAAUCGG
rnacentral:rRNA from 1 species